UACGUAGGGUGCAAGCGUUGUCCGGAAUUAUUGGGCGUAAAGAGCUCGGUAGGCGGCUUGUCGACGUCGGCUGUGAAAAACCUGGGGCUCAACCCCCGGGCCUGCAGCCGAUACGGGCAAGCUAGAAUUCGGUAGGGGAGACUGGAAUUCCUGGUGUAGCGGUGAAAUGCGCAGAUAUCAGGAGGAACACCAGUGGCGAAGGCGGGUCUCUGGACAGUUCCUGACACUGAGGCACGAAGGCCAGGGGAGCAAACGGG
rnacentral:rRNA from 1 species